rnacentral:lncRNA from 1 species
CAGGUGCUCAACACGUCUAUCAGAUAAAUUGAAUGGGAAGGUAAAGUGUGACAAGUGCCACAAGUGUGCGACGAACAGUAACGCCAGGCAAGGCAGGAAGAAGGCAUUUCUAACGGCUUACAAGGCUCCAGGGUCGGCGCUAGGACCCUGUCUGCAAGCACAGUAAUGCCUGCACCGUAAACCCCGCGCCCACCUGGCCGGAAGCUGCCCGGACCAACUCUCCGGCGCCGUCUGCCGUGAUCUCGCAGCUCCUGCAGCCUUUUCUCGGCGUCCCCGCCCUUCUCCAGCUCUGAGCCCGCCUCGCGUCUCCCAUUGGCUGUCUUCGGUUCUCCCGCCCCUCCCGGGCUCAGCCAUUCGGAGCCCCGAGAUGGGUGGGGCUUGUGGCCAGGGGUGGAGCGCGUGCCCCGAUUGGCUCGGAGGAAGAUGGCGACGUGGCCCGAGGAGGUCCGACCGUGCCAAAACUGAGGCUCGGCCAGGCCUGCGCCGGAUUGGUUGUAGGUGGGGCUGACUUAGGUCGCCGGCCGGAAGCGGAAGUGGAGGAAAGAUGCAGGUGUGGAGACAGGAGCUGGGGGAAUGGGGCACUGGUCCGUCACCCCUGGACUGAGCUCAACCCAUCGGUCCCAGGCCCGCUUCUCCGGCCUCCCUCCCGGGUUCGGCCCUCCCCGGUCCAACAUUCUGGCCCCUCAAGGUGGCGGUUGGGCCCCGGAAAUAAGAGCGCGGGUGGCACGCCCCCUCCCCGCGCUCAAGCCCCGUUUCUCGCUGUGUUUCCCGCCAGGACCAUCAGCACGUGCCCAUCGACAUCCAGACCAGCAAGCUGCUCGGUAGGAGGGGACGCCCCGCGCAACCGCUGUCAGGGGGAAGCCCGGCCCAUUGCCUCCUGUUGCCAACAGCUGGGAGCCGUGACGCCCCAAGGCCCCUGACCACUCGCCCUGUUCUAUGCCCUGUGCGGUGGCUACCUGCCGGCGCUAGGAAGAGCGGGAAGGAACCAUUCUUAGUCUGUACUUGACCUGCGUCUUCUACUAACACGUCAUUCCUAACACGUGUUGUAAGGUCAUUCAGGCAUCAAGAGAGUAGUGGCUUACUUUAAAGGCGGUCAGCUACUAAGCAGUAGAUCUGAAAUUGGAACUUAAGUUUGUCAGCCCCCAGGGUCGAUGCUUUUUGUAUGAAAAAAAAACUUACUUUCCUUUCGUUUUAAUUCUUCUUUUAAAUUUUUUAAUUAUUUUUGAAGGAGAGAGAGACAGAGCAUGAGCGGGACGGGAGAGCAGAGAGAGAGAGACACAGAAUUCGAAGCAGGCUCCAGGCUCUAAGCUGUCAGCACAGAGACUGAUGUGGGGCUUGAACUCACGAAACUGUGAGAUCAUGACCUGAGCCGAAGUCGGAUGCUUAACCGACUGAGCCACCCAGGCACCCCUACCUUCCUUUCAUUUUAAAAGCUUCCAUCUCCGCUUGAUUUUAGGAGGAAGAGAGACAGAGAUCCAAUUGGGAAUAAAGACCUUUUAGUGGCCAGGCCAUCUCCCUGCUGCCAGUAUCUGAUCUCUAUACCUCCUCAGUUCAGAGCCAGGCAAGGACCUCUUCAUUAUGACUUUUCCAGGGCGAGUGCACAGCUCCUGGAUUUUAAAAUGCUCAUUGGAUCAACUGAUUUGAUGCUAGCUUAGUCAUUAAGAUGACCUCUGUUUGACUACCUCGUCCCCUUCUAGUUCUAUGACAUCUACAGAAUUUUUCUGAAGAGUUUAGAGAAAUACAGCAGAAGCAGUGUAAGUGAUAGCUAGCGUGGGACCCCAAUGUUUGGCUAGUUGGCAGGUGUAUUAACAAAGGCAAAGUUCUGGACUCACCAUUGUGGACCAUUCGGUCAGUUCUGUGCAGUGGCCACUUGAUGGAGCUUCUUUAGUGUCCUUUCACAUUUGUCCCAGUUCUGCAGCACCUGUGCACUCUUGCUGUAUGAGCUUGUCACUGGUCAUGGGAAGGACCAAUGGAACAGCAACCAUUCAUUCAGAGUUGGCUCUACCAGGUGCUGUUUUAAGCACUUGACAUUGUAAAAAUGAUUUUUACUAGGAUUUAUCGAGUCCUUGCCAUGUGCUAGGCACGGUGCCCCAUGUUUUACUUUUAUUCCCUCUUGUGUCCAGUACCGUAUUAUCCCCAUCUUACAUGUGGGGAAACCAAGGCACAGAAAGGUUAAGAGAUUUGCCUAAGCAAAUUGAUAAUCAGAAGCCAGGACCAUGUGAUCGCAAAGCCUAGCUCUUAGUGCUCUCCUCCUGAGGAAAUGUACAUGGCUCUCAUCCCCCCACCCGCUCUACUAAAAACACAAAUCUGGGCUCAGAUUCCAGGAGGUCAGUCAUAUUGGUAUUCUCGUGGUGCCAGGUGUUACCUAGUCUGCAGGGCGCUGUAGGUAUUAGGGGCUUUGCAGUUGUUCAUUCAUCCGGUACUUGGCAUAAUCAUCUUGUAUUUUCCAUUGUCACGGUUAAUCCCAGCCCUGAGGAAGUGGAAGUUGAAAAGCAUCCUCUGUCAGUAAGAAAGAUAUAAUUACUCAUGGAAGCAAAAAUAUUAUGGAGAAUUUAGAGCGGUCAAAAGUGGCACUUUGAUGUCAGGACUAAUUCACAGUUUUUCUUUAUCCCUGCACGGAGGCAGUUGCUCUAUAAAAGUCACACUGCGAUGAAGUCAGGUUGCUGGAGUCUGUUUAACGCCAAGGGUCCCUUUGAGGCUCUCUUUAUUCCCAUCUUCCCGUGAUCCCCCACACCUUAACCAAUAUGAACACAACUUUUAGCCAGUGUCUUAGCGUAUUUCACUUGAAUUAGUGACAGCGUUUUGGCUGUCAUGAGUGGGAAUGCUAUGAUUUGGGUGUUUCUCACAUAGACUGGCUGGUCGACAGACGACACUGCAAUCUGAAAUGGCAGAGUCUGGUGUUGACCAUCCGAGAGAAGAUCAAUGCUGCCAUCCAGGACAUGCCAGAGAGCGAGGAGAUCGCCCAGCUGCUCUCUGGAUCCUGUGAGUGAUUUGGGACUACAUUACUGGAGCCCCGUCUUUCCUGGAGCACUGUAUAUCAGCCAACCUCCUCCCUUCUUGUUUAGCUUUAGGACUAAUCCCUAGAGAAAGAUUUAUUUGGGGGGGGGGUACAUGCUAGUUUCUUCCAACACACAGUGGUGAAGGGGAAAGCUAUGCAUGCUAAGAUUCUCAGCACAUUCAUCAGUCAGCCAUGUGCCCAGCAUAGUGGGCAAGAUACUGUAAUUCCCAGAGUCUUUGCUCUUCCUUGCUCUCUAGACAUUCACUACUUCCACUGCCUAAGGAUCGUGGACCUUCUCAAAGGCACCGAAGCCUCCACAAAAAAUAUUUUUGGCCGGUACUCUUCACAGCGAAUGAAGGCAAGUGUGGCUGAAGCCGCUUAAUGUGCAGCCGGACCCAUCUGGUCUACAGGGUCAGAGCCUCUGGUCUCGCUGAGGGUCCGGUGGAGAUGCCUACAUAGCAUAUUUCCUGAGCUUUCUGUCCAUCCCCAAAGUUUAUACCAAAAGUAGAUCCUACCCCUGGGUUUCCAUUUUCAGGCCUGCUGCUUUGGGGAAUGCUCAUUGGCACCACGUUGUUAAAAUGAAGUGGGUGGUCCAGCCAGCAUUAUGUAGAAAGACAAGGGGUUUGCGUCUGAUGUGAUGUGAAGGCUGGGGGAGCUUCCCCUGUGUGCGGCUUGAGCUGAGAUGUGGCUGCCCGAGUGCUAUUCCGACUCACUUCCUAUUUCCGUUCUUACCCAGGAUUGGCAGGAGAUCGUAGCCCUGUAUGAGAAGGACAAC